GCCUGGGUGGCUCAAUUGGUUAAGCGUCUGACUUGGGCUCAGGUCACGAUUUCACAGUUUGUGGGUUCAAGCCCCACAUCAGGCU
rnacentral:tRNA from 1 species